CAGCAGCCGCGGUAAUACGAAGGGGGCUAGCGUUGCUCGGAAUUACUGGGCGUAAAGGGCGCGUAGGCGGACAGUUCAGUCGGGGGUGAAAGCCCGGGGCUCAACCUCGGAAUUGCCUUCGAUACUGGCUGUCUUGAGUAUGAGAGAGGUGUGUGGAACUCCGAGUGUAGAGGUGAAAUUCGUAGAUAUUCGGAAGAACACCAGUGGCGAAGGCGACACACUGGCUCAUUACUGACGCUGAGGCGCGAAAGCGUGGGGAGCAAACAGGAUUAGAUACCCCUGUAGUCCCUGUCUCUUAUAA
rnacentral:rRNA from 1 species